rnacentral:rRNA from 1 species
AUUGAACGCUGGCGGCAGACCUAACACAUGCAAGUCGAGCGGAUGACGGGAGCUUGCUCCUUGAUUCAGCGGCGGACGGGUGAGUAAUGCCUAGGAAUCUGCCUGGUAGUGGGGGACAACGUUUCGAAAGGAACGCUAAUACCGCAUACGUCCUACGGGAGAAAGCAGGGGACCUUCGGGCCUUGCGCUAUCAGAUGAGCCUAGGUCGGAUUAGCUAGUUGGUGGGGUAAUGGCUCACCAAGGCGACGAUCCGUAACUGGUCUGAGAGGAUGAUCAGUCACACUGGAACUGAGACACGGUCCAGACUCCUACGGGAGGCAGCAGUGGGGAAUAUUGGACAAUGGGCGAAAGCCUGAUCCAGCCAUGCCGCGUGUGUGAAGAAGGUCUUCGGAUUGUAAAGCACUUUAAGUUGGGAGGAAGGGCAGUAAGUUGAUACCUUGCUGUUUUGACGUUACCGGCAGAAUAAGCACCGGCUAACUCUGUGCCAGCCGCCGCUGUAA